ACAGCAGUCGCCACGGGAAUACAGAGGGUGCGAGCGUUAAUCGGAUUUACUGGGCGUAAAGCGUGCGUAGGCGGCUAAUUGAGUCGGAUGUGAAAUCCCCGAGCUUAACUUGGGAAUUGCAUUCGAUACUGGUUAGCUAGAGUGUGGGAGAGGAUGGUAGAAUUCCAGGUGUAGCGGUGAAAUGCGUAGAGAUCUGGAGGAAUACCGAUGGCGAAGGCAGCCAUCUGGCCUAACACUGACGCUGAGGUACGAAAGCAUGGGGAGCAAACAGGAUUAGAUACCCCUGUAGUCCCUGUCUCUUAUAC
rnacentral:rRNA from 1 species